rnacentral:rRNA from 1 species
UUCCGUAGGUGAACCUGCGGAAGGAUCAUUAAUGAAACUUCAAGUCGGCUGUUCUGUGCUGGUGGCAACACAUGUGCACGUUCAGUCGCAAUCCACACACCUGUGCACUUUGACUCUGAGCACCGCCGGUAACACGGCAGAAGGUUUGAGAUGAAGGUCUUAACCUGGUACUCGAGUAGUUUACACACUCUGUAUGUAAUAGAAUGUAACUGUACAAUGUACAACUAUAAACAACUUUCAACAACGGAUCUCUUGGCUCUCGCAUCGAUGAAGAACGCAGCGAAAUGCGAUAAGUAAUGUGAAUUGCAGAAUUCAGUGAAUCAUCGAAUCUUUGAACGCACCUUGCACCCUUUGGUAUUCCGAAGGGUACACCCGUUUGAGUGUCAUUGUAAUCUCACUCCAACACCUUUAUUGAUGUUGGAUGUGGACUUGGAUGUUGUCGUGUUCAACGACUCGUCUUAAAUGCCUGAGUGUACCCUGCUUUGCAGCGUAUCAGUGUGAUAAACAUCUUCACUGUUAAGUCUUUUGGGACACGCUUGUGUUGUAGGCUCUAUGCUUUCCAACCGUCCUCUGGACAAUCUCUGACAAUUUGACCUCAAAUCAGGUGGGACUACCCGCUGAACUUAAGCAUAUCAAUAAGCGGAGGAAAAGAAACUAACAAGGAUUCCCCUAGUAACGGCGAGUGAAGAGGGAAAAGCUCAAAUUUUGAAUCUGGUGUCUUUGACUCCCGAGUUGUAAUCUAGAGAAGUGUUUUCCGCGUUGGACCGUGCAAAAGUUCCCUGGAACGGGGCGUCAUAGAGGGUGAGAAUCCCGUAUAUGGCACGGACUACCAUUGCUAUGUGAUACACUCUCAACGAGUCGAGUUGUUUGGGAAUGCAGCUCAAAAUGGGUGGUAAAUUCCAUCUAAAGCUAAAUAUUGGCGAGAGACCGAUAGCGAACAAGUACCGUGAGGGAAAGAUGAAAAGCACUUUGGAAAGAGAGUGAAACAGUACGUGAAAUUGUUGAAAGGGAAGCGUUUGAAGUCAGUCACGUCUGUCGGAAUUCAGCCUGGCUUCUGCCUGGUGUAUUUUCUGGCUGACGGGUCAGCAUCAAUUUCGACUGAGGGAAAAAGACUUGGGGAAUGUGGCUGUCUUCGGGCAGUGUUAUAGACCCUUGUUGUAUGUCUCGGUUGGGAUUGAGGAAUGCAGCGCGCCUUUUGGCUGGGGUUCGCGCCCUCGGUACGCGCUUAGGAUGCUGGCAUAAUGGCUUUAAGCGACCCGUCUUG